rnacentral:lncRNA from 1 species
GAAAUCAAAAUAAAAAAAAAUAAGAAUGGGCUGGAAUCGAAAAUAGAAUGAUAAAAGUAAUAAUUUGUUCGGUUCAUAAGAGAAAUGGAAAUCAAAAUUAUAUCCAAAUUAAAAUUUAAGAAAAUUAAAUCUCUAUUAAAAUUCAAAUUUGUUUAUUUAAAUUUAUAAUCAAAUUUUAAAUUUAAAUUUGAAAUUAUAAUUUGAACUUACAAUUAAGUUCAAGAUGAAAGUCGAAUUUUAAAUUUCAAACUAUUAUAUUAAAAUUAAAUAAUUAAAUUUUAAACUUCAAAUUUAUGUUUCAAAUUCAAAUUUAAAAUUAUAAUUAAAGCCAAUGAAUUUAUAUUUAUAUUUAUAUUUAUAUUCAAAUAAUCAUUAGUGAGAAAAAAAAAAUUCUUUUCUCAAUCGCUCCGAAAUCAAAGUUGACUCCCACCUCUAUAGUGGGACUCACUUUUGAGGAAUUAUUUUCAGAUAUUCUUGGACUCAGCAUUGAUUAUUAAAGCGAUCCACUUCAAAUCUGACCAAUCCGAAUUGUUCACUUGGGACGCUAGAAUGAAGCUUAAACCGCUUCAGUCUUUCGUCGACACAUGUCACGCCUUCUCUUUUGGAUGGAAUUCUCGUUUCUUCAGGAAUGCUAUGCAAGUUGAUCAACUAGCCAAUUGGAGUCUGUCUAGUAAAAAAAAAUACACUGUGUGGUCCUCUUUUGAGGACUUUUUAUUUUUAUUUUUAUACCGUCUCAUUUUAUUUAAAUAAAUUUUCACUCUCGGGCGAUUUCUCUCAAAAAAAAAAGAAAAAAAAUUCAAAUACUAACAAUGGGAAUGAUUUAAUCUAAUUUUUAUUCCAAGUCUCAAACUUCGAAUUAAACAUGCCCUCAAAUUCACGUUUGAAUUUGUAAAAUUUUAAU